rnacentral:rRNA from 1 species
UGGGGGAUAUUGCACAAUGGGGGAAACCCUGAUGCAGCGACGCCGCGUGAGGGAAGAAGGUUUUCGGAUUGUAAACCUCUGUCUUCAGUGACGAAAAUGACGGUAACUGAGGAGGAAGCCACGGCUAACUACGUGCCAGCAGCCGCGGUAAUACGUAGGUGGCAAGCGUUGUCCGGAAUUACUGGGUGUAAAGGGAGCGUAGGCGGGAAGACAAGUUGAAUGUGAAAUGCAGAGGCUCAACCUCUGAACUGCGUUCAAAACUGCCAUUCUUGAGUGAAGUAGAGGUAAGCGGAAUUCCUAGUGUAGCGGUGAAAUGCGUAAAUAUUAGGAGGAACACCAGUGGCGAAGGCGGCUUACUGGGCUUUAACUGACGCUGAGGCUCGAAAGCGUGGGUAGCAAACAGG